rnacentral:lncRNA from 1 species
AUGAAACAUGCUGAUUUGUCAAAUGAAACAAUCAAAAAGUCUCCUUUUUCGGGUUUUGGGUUUAUUGAGGGAUUUUGAUUUUGUUAGUAGCCAAAAACUAAAAUACACGAAAUUCCUCUUCUAAUUAGUAGAAAAACCCUAAACCAAUGUUCAAAAAUAAAAAAAAUAUAAACAAAAACCUCCAAAAUCAAAAACCCUAAGCAAAAAUCCC